AGAGGAAACAAUGAGUAAUUUCGUACUCUUUCCUCCUCCCCGCCAUGCCUCUGCUUCAUACUGCUUGGUUUAUGUCCUGCCUAUGCCCAGCUUGUUUCCUUUGUUUCUUUCCUCCAUUUCUCUUUUUGAGACAGGGUCUCAUUAAGUAGCCCCGGGUAGUGUGAAAACCAUUCCUGUCAUUGCCAGGUGUGGUAAUCAAACCCAAGGCCUCAUAUAUGCUAGGUCAGCACUCUGCCUCUUUAGCUACAUCCCAAACCUGAAAGGUGGGAAUUUUUGUUUUUGAGACAGGGUUUCUCUGUGGAGCCCUAGCUGUCCUGGAGCUCACUCUAUAGACCAGGCUGGUCUCGAACUCUGAGGACCACCUGCCUCUACAUCCCAAGUGCUGGGAUUAAAAUCUCGAGUCACCAUCACCCAAUGUAGGGUGUGUCUGACUACUCACCUGGUCCACAUUUUCCAUACCAUCCAGUGCUUAGCCCCGCCCCUACUCUAUCACAUACUGAAGGUACGAGCUGCGGAUGGAGAAAUGGCUCUGCAGCUAAGAGCAGUGACGAUGUUCCAGAGAACUGGCUUUGACUCCCAGCACUCACAUGGUGGUUCACUGUCAUCUGUACCUGUGUCCUGGUGGCAGUGUCUGAUGCCCUCUUCUAGCCUUCCUGGGCUACUGCACACGGCAGUGCGCAGAAGUGUGUAUAAUGUGUUGGGGGUUGGUCCGGUGCUGUUUUGUAUUCAAAUGUUAAAUACCAGCUCCCCAGAUUCGGCUGCCCCCAAGGAACAGAUUCUCACGUACACAGGAGGAGAGAGGGGGUUAGAAAGAGGAGAGAGAGAAGGAGACCUUCAUGGGAGGAGAUAGAUCAUGAGCACAUGGCCAAUUCAAUUCCUCAAGCUUGGGACACAAGCACUUCCAAAUGAGCCAUCUCCCCAGUCCCUAUUUGUUUUUGAGACAAGGCCUCACUCUAUAGUCCUGGCUGGCCUGGAACUCAACAUGUAGAUGAGGCUGCCCUGAAAUGUGUGGUCCCUCAGCCUCUGCCUCCCAAGUGUGAGGGUUCUAAGCAUGUGUACCACACCAAAGCCACACAAGUCUUAACUCCGAGGCCACCCUAGAAAGAGGUUUGGGUCUGAGUCUGGUCUAACUUUGUGCUACAAAGUUCCCACACAGCCUUGAGCUAGUCGGCUUCAUCAGCUGAAGAAAGAACUAGAGCCCAUUCCUGAUGGCUUUACACCUGUAAGCCCAGCCAUCGUGGAAACAGAAGCCAGAGGAUCUGAGCUCUGGGUCAGCCUGGGCUACAUAAUGAGACUGACUCUAUUAGGUAGCCACUUAAGAUGGACUGUUCCCUCACAAUCAGCUGUGGAUCUCACCUGUUUCCCUGGUAACUCUAAAACUGGCUAUGUCACAAACGCCUCUCCUUAAGAGUCAAAAUACGAGGACCUGUGAGUUGGCUGUGGGCAUAAAGGAGCCUGGGCUCACAUGGUGGAGGAGAGAAAUGACACCUGGCAAGUGGUCCUCUGACCUUCACAUGUGAUAAAGGUGCUCGCUAAGGCUUCACUAAACAGAGACUUAGAACUCACCGACUGAAACCCCAGGGCCCCUGGAACAGCUCCAGAAGCCACCACCAACAGCAACAAUAGCAAAACAAGGAAAUCUGGGAGGGCAGUUACUCAACUAUAAAACACUGAAACAAGGAUACUACUUGCGUAUGAUCCCAGCACUGAGAAGGGGAGAUUUAAGAAGAUUCAGCGUUCAAGAUCAUGCCCCACUACAGAGUGAAUCUGAGGCCAGCCUGGCCAUAUGACACCCUGCCCCGAGAAAGGAGGAGGAGAAACUAUGUCAUUUGGAUAUAAAGAAAGCGAGAAAAGGAAAAAAAA